rnacentral:rRNA from 1 species
UACGUAGGGGGCGAGCGUUGUCCGGAAUGAUUGGGCGUAAAGGGCGCGCAGGCGGCCUGUCAAGUCAGUAGUGGAAGUCCAUUUUUUCAAGGAUGGAAGUGCUAUAGAAACUGAUGGGCUUGAGUGCAGGAGAGGUUAUCGGAAUUCCCGGUGUAGCGGUGAAAUGCGUAGAGAUCGGGAGAAACACCAGUGGCGAAGGCGGGUAACUGGACUGCAACUGACGCUGAGGCGCGAAAGUGUGGGGAGCAAACAGGAUUAGAUACCCCUGUA